CUUACCCUUUUCUUUGCUUGAGCUACCUUUGAGGAAGGGUUUAUUUUUAUAUAAUCUGUUCUUACCUCUCAUAAAUUUUUAAAUUUUCUUCCAAGCAUAGCCAUCCCUUCUUCAUCAAAUUCAUCAUCAUUAUCUGAAUUUUCCGAUUCAGUUUGUUAUUUAGGGGUGGUAGUCUUUUGGGCAAUGGGCUUUCUUCUCUUGACCUCAUCUUCCGAAUUUUGCCUCAUUGUCAACUCAUGGAUCAUGAGUGAUCCUAGAAGUUCCUCUAAUUGCAGUGUGUUGAGAUCCUUAGCUUCCUGAAUUGCGGUUACUUUGGCCUCCCAAAUUCUUGGUAGAGAUCUGAGAAUUUUUCGCACCAAUUCAGAGUUAGUGUAAGACUUUUCUAAACUCUUAAGCCCAUUUAUAAUUUCAGUAAAACGAGUAAACAUAUCAGUUAUGGACUCAGUAGAUUCCAUUUUAAACAAUUCAUACUUGUGUACUAAUAUGUUUAUUUUUGACUCCUUAACUUGAUUGGUCCCUUCAUGAGUGACCUCAAGUUUAUCC
rnacentral:lncRNA from 1 species